GUUCUGGAGGCCAUCUCUUCCACGGGAAGCAGGCUUCUCUGGUGGCCAACUCUCCACAAGGACAGAUGUCUUAUCUGCUGACCCACAUCCUAGCCUCUAGCCAGGGAGAACAGCGAGCUCAGAGCAAGGCCAAGCCAGAUAAAACAAGAAGACAGAUGGAAGGUGGUGCUCUGAACUCACUCGGAGCUCCAGCUGUGUGAUCUGAAGCAAGCUUCCCAACCCACAGUGUGUGAUCUGAAGCAAGCGUCCCAACCCACAGUGUGUGAUCUGAAGCAAGCGUCCCAACCCACAGUGUGUGAUCUGAAGCAAGUGUCCCAACCCACAGUGUCAUCGGUUCUUGAUGCUCCAGUGUUGCAACUGUUUUUGAAGACUCCUGUCACAAACUUCCACAUUAACUUCUUGCUUCGGGGAAGCAGAAGUAGCAAACAGAGACCCUGUCAGGGUCCCCGAGCCCAGAGGGGGAGACGCGGGGGCCGAAGCAGCUGCAGGCCUGGCUACUUCGCUGGGUUCGGUGGGCGGCACCUUACCCCCGAGCACGGCUUUUGUCCACCUGUAAAGUGGAGGUCAUUCACAAGGGGAAAGCGGACUUGUGAUGGGAAGGAAAUAAUUGACAAGUCAGCUCUUCUAACCCAUUAGUUUUUUUCUGUCAAAACAAUGUUCCUCGGGGUGCCUGGGUGGCUCAGUCGUGGGAUCGAGCCCCGCGUAGGGCUCCCUGCUCAGCAGGAAGCCUGCUUCUCCCUCUCCCACUCCCCCUGCUUGUGUUCCCUCUCUCACUGUGUCUCUGUCAAAUAAUAAAUCU